GGACAGAUAGCUCAAUGACAGAGCACCAGGCAGACUGAUAAGUCCGUUUCCCUGGUCCGGUCACUUAUCCUCACGGGUCGAAGGACAUAGGGUUAUCGUUUAAAACCUGGGGGUUGCAGGUUGGAGUCCUGCUCUGUCCC
rnacentral:tRNA from 1 species